rnacentral:rRNA from 1 species
ACAGCGACUGCGAAUGGCUCAUUAUAUAAGUUAUCGUUUAUUUGAUAGUACCUUACUACUUGGAUAACCGUGGUAAUUCUAGAGCUAAUACAUGCUAAAAAUCCCGACUUCGGAAGGGAUGUAUUUAUUAGAUUAAAAACCAAUGCCCUCCGGGGCUCACUGGUGAUUCAUGAUAACUCCUCGAAUCGCAUGGCCUUGCGCCGGCGAUGGUUCAUUCAAAUUUCUUCCCUAUCAACUUUCGAUGUUUGGGUAUUGGCCAAACAUGGUUGCAACGGGUAACGGAGGGUUAGGGCUCGACCCCGGAGAAGGAGCCUGAGAAACGGCUACUACAUCCAAGGAAGGCAGCAGGCGCGCAAAUUACCCAAUCCCGACUCGGGGAGGUAGUGACAAUAAAUACUGAUACAGGGCUCUUUUGGGUCUUGUAAUUGGAAUGAGUACAAUUUAAAUCCCUUAACGAGGAACAAUUGGAGGGCAAGUCUGGUGCCAGCAGCCGCGGUAAUUCCAGCUCCAAUAGCGUAUAUUAAGUUGUUGUGGUUAAAAGCUCGUAGUUGAACCUUGGGCCUGGCUGGCCGGUCCGCCUCACCGCGUGUACUGGUCCGGCCGGGCCUUUCCCUCUGUGGAACCCCAUGCCCUUCACUGGGUGUGGCGGGGAAACAGGACUUUUACUGUGAAAAAAUUAGAGUGCUCCAGGCAGGCCUAUGCUCGAAUACAUUAGCAUGGAAUAAUAGAAUAGGACGUGUGGUUCUAUUUUGUUGGUUUCUAGGACCGCCGUAAUGAUUAAUAGGGACAGUCGGGGGCAUCAGUAUUCAAUUGUCAGAGGUGAAAUUCUUGGAUUUAUUGAAGACUAACUACUGCGAAAGCAUUUGCCAAGGAUGUUUUCAUUAAUCAGGAACGAAAGUUAGGGGAUCGAAGACGAUCAGAUACCGUCGUAGUCUUAACCAUAAACUAUGCCGACUAGGGAUCGGACGGUGUUAUAUUUUGACCCG